UACGUAGGGGGCAAGCGUUGUCCGGAAUUAUUGGGCGUAAAGAGCGCGUAGGCGGUCCGAUAAGUCGGCUGGGAAAGUCAGGGGCUCAACCCUUGGAAGCCGGCCGAUACUGUCGGACUAGAGUCCGGAAGAGGCGAGUGGAAUUCCCGGUGUAGCGGUGAAAUGCGCAGAUAUCGGGAGGAACACCAAUGGCGAAGGCAGCUCGCUGGGACGGUACUGACGCUGAGGCGCGAAAGCGUGGGGAGCAAACAGG
rnacentral:rRNA from 1 species